rnacentral:rRNA from 1 species
GACGAACCGUGCGAACGUUAUUCGGAAUCACUGGGCUUAAAGCGCGUGUAGGCGGGACGGCACGUCGGUCGCUGAAAUCCCCCGGCUCAACCGGGGAACGGGCGCCGAUACGACCGCCCUGGAGGGACGUAGGGGGACCUGGAACUUCCGGUGGAGCGGUGAAAUGCGUAGAUAUCGUUUGGAACGCCAAUGGUGAAAACAACUUGCUGGGGGUGUGCUGACGCUGAGACACGAAAGCCAGGGGAGCAAACGGG